GAGGGCGAUCUGGCUGCGACAUCUGUCACUCCAUUGAUCGCCAGGGUUGAUUUGGCUGGUGAAUAAGAGAUUUUCCCCACAUCCUC
rnacentral:snRNA from 1 species